GGAUGUGGGUGGAGAAGGGUCACAGUCCUCACUGAGUGAGACCCUUCUGCUCCCUGCCCCUGUCCUCUCUGAACUCCAGCAUGGUGUGUCUGCGGUGCCCCGGAGGCUCCUGGAUGACCGUUCUGAUGGUGAUGCUGAUGGCACUGAGCCCUCCCCUGGCUCAGGCCAGAGACACUCCAUCAAAUUUCCUGUAUCAGCGUAAGUGCGAGUGUCAUUUCUCCAACGGGACGGAGCAGGUGCGGUUCCUGUACAGAGACAUCUACAACGGGCAGGAGAACCUGUGCUUCGACAGUGAUGUGGGGGAGUGCCGCGCGCUGACCGAGCUGGGGCGGCCGGUCGCCGAGUACUGGAACAGCCAGAAGGACAAACUGGAGCGGGCUCGGGCCUAUGUGGACACGUUCUGCAGACACAAUUACUGGGUGUUUGAGGGAUUCUCGGUGCAGCAGAAAACUGAGCCCACAGUGACCGUGUAUCCUGCAAAGGCCCAGCGCCUGCAGCACCACAACCUCCUGGUCUGCUCGGUGAACGGCUUUUAUCCGGGUGACAUUGAGGUCCGCUGGCUGCGCAACGGCCAGGAAGAGGAGGCCGGGGUGGUGUCCACGGGCCUGAUCCGGAACGGCGACUGGACCUUCCAGACCCUGGUGAUGCUGGAGACAGUUCCCCGGAGCAGGGAGGUCUACACCUGCCAAGUGCGGCACCCCAGCAGCACCCGCCCUGUCACUGUGGAAUGGAGGGCCCAGUCUGGAUCCGCACAGAACAAGGUGCUGAGUGGAGCCGGGGGCUUCGUGCUGGGGCUGCUCUUCCUCGGGGCAGGGCUGCUCAUCUACUUCAGGGCUCAGAAAGGACACUAUCGACUUCAGCCCACAGGACUCCUGAGCUGAGGUGGCCAUGGCGACAGGGGCAGGAGAGAACCUUCUGUCAGGCUGUUGGCAGCCUGAAGAGGUUUCCUGCUGGGCUCUCACUCCACAAGGAGAGCCGCCUGGGGCUCUGGCUGGGUCCUGGCUCCUGACCCUGCAGCAGCUCCUCCCUGCUGGUUCCUCCCCACCUGGACCUGGAGGCCCCAGUGUUGGCUGCAGAACCUGAGCUCCAUCCCUCCCUGUCCCUGUGUGUUCAACCCUCGCUGUCUGCUGAGCACCUUAGCAGACCUCUGCCUCAUUUCUUUACAAAAUGUUCCUCAAUUAAAUAUGGAGUGAGAUCAUCUGCCUCACAGGCUUCAAGGGCAGGAAGUAGGAAGAAAGGAGCUGCUCAGGACCUAGGAGACUGGGCGCCAACAGAGCUGUGCAGACCAAGGGCCCUGGGCCGCCUCCGAACCCCUCACCUGCAGAGGAGGCACCUGAGCCCAGAAGCCCAGAGCGUCCCAAGUCACACAAGUCAGGAUGGAGACCCAGCUUCCCACCCCAGGCCCACAGCUUGCUCCGUGUGACUCCCCCAGUUCAUCAGGAGCCAGGAAGGGGCUGGUGCAGGGAGUGUGGUCCCCGGCUCCCCUCCCCCUCCCAGGCUUCUGGAGCUCAGUCUGGGAGACAGAGUCAGGAGGAGUCCAGUCCCCUGUGGGCCUAGAAGCAGUUUCCAUGCUUGACAACUUCCCAGUCUCCUGUUGGGGCAACCCCACCCCCAGGAAGCUCCCAUCUGAUGGGGACAAAAGAAACAGAGAGUCAAGCGAACACAUAAAUCAUUGGUGAGAACACACCACAACAGGAGAGAGUGGCUGGGCCCUGGCUGGUUUUGCUCAGUGGAUAGAGCGUCAGCCUGCAGACUGGAGGGUCUCGGGUCUGAUUCCAGCAAAGGCACGAGCCUGGGUUGCGGGCUUGAUCCCCUGUGUGGGGAGUGCAGUA